rnacentral:misc_RNA from 1 species
GUUCCAGCCCUUCUUGCAAGAUUCACCAACAAUCUUCAACCCUUUCUUGAAAAAAAUCUUGAGCUCCUUGGCUCUCUUCUUCAUCUGCUGCUCAAAACCAGCCAUGGCGUCUCUUUAGAUUGAUAUGAUCGAUACCUCAGAAGAAAACAGAGAGGAAUAGAGAGAGACAGAGAACGAAAUUGGUGGGUAGCUAAUUAAGGCUAAGCUAAGGUUUCUUUCGCUGAAAACAGAAAGGUUUCUCUUUUUGUCUUUGUAAAAAAAGGUUA